GCGGCCCCGCACGUCCUCCCGCCCGCCGGGGGCCGCCGUUACCAGGGCGCGGAGCAGCGAGCGGAGAGAAACGCUCCGGGUUUUACGGGCUUGGAGAAGAGACGGGCCCCGGCCAGAGGCGCCCCCCGCGGGGUCCCCCCGCCGCCCCGCCCCGCACACCCAGGCCGGGGGGCUCCUGGAGCAGGCUUCCUUAUUCCUGUAAUUAAUUUGUUGUUGUUGUUGCUGUUGUUGUUGUCGUUGUUGUUGUCAUCACCGUCGUCGUUAUUUAGGCUUCCACCCGUCGGAGGUUCACCGAAGAAAGAGCCCGGAGGGUGAGGAUUAAGCAGGAAGCCCCCAGCCCGGCAUCACCGAGGAGUUCCGUCCAUCCAGGGAACGGGAGGCGGUGGGAGUUGAGCGGCCCCUCGGGACCGGGGCUGAGCCGCCGCCCUCCCCACCGGCCUGGGCGUGAGAAGGGCUGGGUGCUGCCCAUGAGCCGCGCUCGCCUGCUGCUGGGGGUUUGUGGGACCCCCGGCUUUUGUGUGUAAAUCAGUUUCCACCCAUCCUAACUGCAGAGAAAAUCUUGGAGACCAGAGCUUAAGGACAAAACCCCAAAGGGCACUGUAGGAAGAGGAACGAAGGGCAAACAUCCUGCCUGGCACCCGCUGUGCUGAUGGAAAACAUGAACACCGGUUUGCCAUCAGUUGCUGAUCACCAGCUCUGCUGGAGGCUGCCACGUUCGGCAGGCUGUUGGCUAAACCCUUCAUGACAGCAUUCCUUUGCCCUGUCCACUCCGAGGGAGCUGGUGUGCCACCGUUUCAGCUCUUCGAACCAAACAGCCUCAACUUCAUGGUGCUAAACCACAGACCAUGGUCCUGAGUUAGUCAGCUGAGCUCUGUGGUACAGCACAGGAAGGAGGAACACAAUUUUCCUCUUCCUGGACGUGGCAGCACACGAGCUGGUGUCACCUGUUUGCAUCAUCACUCCAACCUGCUGGUGUCUCCAGCAGAGCAGUGGACGGAAAUUUCGUGUCUCUCCCAAACUCUCCUGUUAUGUAACAUUCACGGUGAUGAAAACGGGUUGCAAGCACUUUCUUACUUGUGCCUGGAGGUGAGACCUCCUCACUCAGCUGUCUGAGGCUUGUGGCACCUCUAAUUACCAAGCUGGAAGGAAGAAAAAUGAAUAGAUGAUGCUUAGGAUAAGAGUGCUUAGUACUUAAAAUAUGUUUACCUAAAAUACAGCACUGCUGCUUUAAUUUCCUAAAGUGCUAUCUAUUAUGUGGUGAGGAAAGUAGAAAUGAAGAAACCAGCCCUUACUUCCUCAUGUGGAAGCUAUCCCAGCUUGCCAGAUCAUUAACAAAUGUUUUAAGCAGCGAAGGGAAAAAAUUGUGCCAUUUGCUCAUAAGGCAAAACCAUUUGGACUACUACAAAUUUCAGAGUAAUGUGAAAGGUUUAAGCAAAAUAAGGGACAGCAAAAAGAGAAAACAACUGUAAAUAUUGAUAAGAGUUAAGUAAUAUGGUAGCAAUUAAUACACAUUUUUUAUAUGUUCCAUAACUCUGCGAGACAGGCCUGCAAAAAUAUCUACAAUUCAUAGAAAAUAAGCUAAAGCAGUUAAGCCAACAUGAAUCCCUACUGCAGGAAAAUAAUUAAAAUCAAGGAAUUAACAGCACACAAACUCAUAUUUUAGCGGGAAUCAAUUGCUACCAUUUCGAAAGGAGUAAUUUAAAAUCAGAUAAACCUUUAGAACAGAUGUUCAACUACACAGCAAACCCUGCCAAAGGACAUGAGUUAAGGAGGCAUUUAGUGUUCUCUUAUGUGUUUUAAAAUGGCUUCUCCUAAAAGAAUGGUGCAACCAGGGUCUCAGGCUUCUAAGUACUAUUACCACAUUUGCUCUUACAGAAAAUGUUGUGAUAAAAGCUGAGAGAUUUCCUAGUAAAAGAGAGACAGCAUUAUUAGCAGCCAUGAGGCUUUUUGCAUUCCCUAAGCUUGGACCAGAUAUGUUUAGGGUUAUCAACUACACACAGCAUCAACACAGCACUUAAAUUUCCCUGCUUCUUGUUUCACAACAGCCCACCUUGACCUCAUCCUGUAAUCAGCACACACAUUUUGUAGAAGCAUUUCCAUCUCAAAAUGAUUACUGAAAAUGACAUUAAAAAAAAAGAAUGUGAAAUUCACUGGUAAGCAAUCCAUGGUGUUGCUUUUCAAUUCUGACUAUGAUUGCAUGGGAAUGUAUUUCUCAGCAGUCAUUAGAUCAGGGAUUUUGGGUUGGAGCUAUAUUUGAUAUGGAGCUUGGUAAGUUGGUGAAGCUGCUUGGAUCGAUAGUUGUCAUCAUUUGAGCAGAAAAUUAAUAUGAACAUAUUUGUUUGCAGACACCCAGAGUCAAGUAACUGGAGGAAUCUGUGGAUUCAACUAACAUACACAAUGUAAAACAGAAACCCAUUCAAAUACUGUUCAUAAUUUUUUCUAAUGCACCUUUAAUAUUACCUUCAAUUUUCAAACUUAAAGCUAGCAGAUUUUCCAGUUAGUCCAAGGUAAAGUAUUCAAUUUUUUGGAUGUACCUAGUUCAAAUAUGCCAGAUCUCUCCAAUUUCCUACUUAUGUGUUAGAUUUCCCAUGACAAUAGCUUGUCAGAAAAUGUGAAUGAGUCAUAACUCCUAAGCCCUGUGAAACAAUUUACAGGGAUUUAGAAAUAGGCAGGGAUUAUCAUAGUUCACACACAAAAUUAAUACCACCUUUUUCAAAUUCUAGUAGCAUUCAUUCAAACAAUAUUCUUGCUUUGCUUUGAAAAUUAUGUAGCUCUUUAUCCCGGUUUUAGCGGUCAUAUUUUUUGUACAAAGAUUCCAGCAAGGAUAUUAAUAGCCUCCUUAAUUAUUAAAAACAAGUAAGAUGCUCCCUAUGCCAUAGGAAAUUCUAGCUUCUCUAGAUUUCAAUUUACUGUGUUUAUGAAGAUGGUCAAACACUGAAUGAAAAACUCAGUGGAUCUAUACAAUAUGAAUAGAAAUUAUUCAGAAGUUAGAUUAUUAGACCUAAUUUUCUUCUUCAUGCAGGAAAACCAAGCAGCUGUACUUCAAAAAGGCAUGCAUAAGGUCCAUAAUGGGAGAAGUACUGAAAUGGAAGCAAAUAGAUGGAAGUGAUUACUUUAAUUUCCAAAUAUUAAAUACAAAUAUUUAAAUGUAAUUUCUGCAGGAUGCCCAGCAAGCAAAACCCGUUAGAACUUUGAGUCUCUUAGACAGCACUUUUAGAGAUCUCUGCUGUAUAGUUUUUCUUGUGUCUCAGCAGACUUUCAUCUGAUGUUCCUAAUGAGAUUAAAUGCAUUAAAAUACACUUAUUCAGUUUUUCUGAACUACAGCAAUGGCUGUGUUUCCUAUAAUGAUGUUGAAUGUCCUUUUCAGCUACUAAUACCAAGUCUUUGGCAGUAAGGCAAGGAAUGUCCCUUCAUCUGAGUGAAAUGCUGACCUCACCCAGCGGUGGAGGUGGAGUUUUGUCAUUGAUUUCAGUAGGUCCAAGAUUUCCCUGCAUCUGGUAUAAAAUCACAGCCAUUCUUCGUGACAAGUAAAUAUAUAGUAAUGGCACAAAAGAUUCUAAAUUCAGAAUGAAAUUGGAAUUAACUGUGACAAAACCAUGUUGCACAAAAACUUUACAUUCAGUAAGAUUUCAGAAGCAUUGCUUUGAUCUUGUGGUUCAUAAAGGCAUCAAGAGAGGUUUAAUACCUUUUGUAUUUAUAAGGUAUUUAUCUAAACCUUUUAUGUUCAUGUGGUACACUGAAAAUCUUAGGCCAUUUGUCAAUCUUUUAAUCAGUAAAUUAUAUGGUGAUAAAAAACCCCCUCCCAUGUACAAGUUGUCAUCCUGCCUUCCUUAUAGAUUGUUGUUGCAUUUCAACAAUUCAACUCAAAUAAACAGUCUCUGAAAAGGAAAAGUUCAGAUUAUCAGUGAGAAAAAAUGGUUUCAGCUUCCAAAGGGUAUUCACAGCAUAGGAGUUGAAAAGGGUUUUGUUUUAUGGGUUUUGUUUGUUUUAAUGUGGAUCUCCAGAAAGUUGCAGAACCGCAUCUCUUUCAAAAGUUUCUGAUGAACACUAGGAUCCAGGUUCUCACAUGUAAAACCUCUCUGUUUAUGUGGGGUUUUGUUUGGUUGUUUCAGGUUUUUGGUUUUUUUUAAUCUAGGAAAAGUAUAAUUUGAUCAAAUUCUUGCCCCACAUUAUGCUAGCAUACUGCUUUGGACUUCAGUGAGGAAGAAGCUUAAUCUUACCCAGAUUAGGUUGAUAUAAAGGGCAUUCUACCUCCAAAAUUAUUGCUAAAGUAUUAAAAUAAUUACCUUUUUUUUCUUGCCUUCUUUCUUAAAUUGCUGGAUUUUGUUCCUGCCCUGCCACCUAGCAGCCUGCCUUUGGAAAACAUAACUCAAUGUCUUCUUAAAAUUCUGUAAGGAAACUUAUUCAAACAGAAGAUGUUUACCUCUUGUCUAAGGACACUAAGAAAUUCCAAAUGCUUGACAUACCCUCCAAAAUUAACCACUGGAAAGCAUAUAAAACAUGACAAAACAACACAUCUCUAGAUCACAUUUUAGAGUUUUUAGCACUUGAACAUUACAUGUCUGAGUCAUUAGAUUUUUCCCCCCUUCCUUUUUUCCCCCUCUGCACCAUUAGAUUUUUUUCCACAUUGGAAGUGCAACAUGAAAAUGGAAAACAACAUGAACUUGUACCCACAUUAAAUCUGUCUUUUUGUGUUUGCCUUUGUUACAAGCAGCAAGGCAUGUAGCUCACUCAAAAUCAAUAGUGGCAUGAACCCAUUCGGUCUCUCCCAGGACAACAGAAUUUGCCAGCUGGUCAGAAGGACUCUCAUGGCUGGCAAAACCUUGCUGGUCUUCAGAGCUGUGUUUGACGUGGCACAACGGAAUGCUAAACUGACCUCAUCAGCUCAGAUACCUCCCUGUCCUUUGGGAAAACAGAGUUGGGCAAUCUAGCCUGUUCUAAUAACUCCUGGCAAAUGCAGGCCAACCUUUUCAGUCCAGCAGUCACAGCUGGGUAACUUGUAUGUCACUCCCAUUUCUCAGGACGUAAAACAGGAAUAGGCUUCCAAGCAAUCUUGCUGGAUAAAUGCUACAUUAAAAUUUGUUGGCUUGAAUGUGUGGGUUUUUUUCACACUGUCAGAAAAGGAAUUAAUUCAACCCUGUCUCUCUGCAAUUUCCCAGACUGCCUCAGUUACAGUCAGUUUUCAAUAGCUCAGCUAUGACACCAGAUCGCAAAACAGGUCCCUGAUAGAGUACAUCCUGUAAAGAGAGAGAAUGUUUAUCACAGUCAUUUACAUUGAUUCUCAUGGCUUAUGAACAUCACAACUUCAUUUGAUGUACGUACAAACCAGCGACUAGGAACCUGUAACACAAUACAGUACUGCUAAAAGCACACCGGGACACUUCAGAGUUGAAUUUCAGUGAAUAAAAUAGGUUAUGUAGUGGGCUGGAUACAGAGAGAUUUGCUUUUCUAAACAAUGUUAAUGGUUUUUAUGGUAGAAAAGAAAAAGGAGAAGAAAUAUUCACUGCUUUAAUGUUAGUAUGCCAGUCUAAUAUGUGAGCCUCUACUUGAAAACUCUCAAGUGCAUGAACAAGAAACAGGACUGCAUGAUAGAGCCUAACCCUGUAAAAGCAAAAGACUGGCACAAUAGCUGUCAUUAACAGUACACAAAUAAAAACUGCUGAAGUAGCCAUCUAUGAACACAGGGAUGCUUAGUCCUGCAUCACCAGAAAUAAAAAUGGAGUUUUCUAUUUCACUGACUAUAAAAAUAGUUGAAGUCCCACAGUCUCAGUGAGUUCAGUUCCACAGCUUCAGCAUCUUCAGCAGGAAAGGCAGAAAGGAAGCUCCAUCUGGUGGUGUGGCUGAUUGUCGUUGCUUUUCAGUUUCAUCUGAUUGCAAAUACAUUCCUGUCCAGCAACAAAAUGAAAAAUUGGAAUAACGUGUAAAAGAUCACUUGUCCCACAAAUGGAACCAGAGUUAUCUAACUCUUUAAAAUCAGAAAACAUUCUAAAACCAGGACUUUCUGUUUGAAGCAAAUGAGAGUUGAAGCUUUUCAAUAAAAGGCACACAUGAUCCUGCCAGGGUAGUAAUCUAACAAACAUGAAAGAGUUGCAUUAGCACACUUCAAGAGGUGACCUGCUGAAGCCUGGGGUGGGAAGAAGAAAAGGCAGGAAUCACUGGUUAAAGGAUGAAGGAGGAGGUGUGUGAACAUGAAGUCAGGGUUGCUGCUGCGCCUGUCUUAUAAAAGUUGUUACUUUUAUUAUUUAUUAUUAUUAUUAUUGUUGUUGUUGUUGUUGUUGCUAUUUUAUUAUAAUUUGCAAAGAAUUGCUGAACAAAGUGCAGUGAUGGUGGUGGUGAGGUAAGAUUAUUUGACCUGACUUUCCAAGUAAUUUUAGCGAGUAUUUAAUUCUAAGUAUCUGUGUAUGUGAUUUCAGCAAAGCCACUGCUUUGCAGGAUUGGGAAACAUGUUCCCCCAUGUUGAUGCUAUAAAAUGUUAUAGGCAUUGUAAAGUAUAAACCUAAUUGGGUAGAUGAUCCUAGGUGUAGCCACUGAAGUUCUAUGCUUACUGUCACACACAAAUUCAUGUCUGCUACUGCUCCUCCAAGAGCCCAUGGCAACUUCUCUCAAGACAUGCUCCUAAUCCAAGUUUAUGUUAAACAACAGCAAUUUUAAACACAGAUGCACAUAAACCUUAUCCUGCAAACUCAGGUAAAUAAAAUACACUUUGUUUA